CACUUCAUGACUGAGAGCAGAACAGAACACAAUCUUCAUCAUCACACAAGACACAACAACAACAAUGAACAACAUCAUCAUCCUCAUCUGGACUCUCACACUGUUUGCUCAAGAGUGUAGAGGACAGUACACUGUAACUCAGAGUCCAUCAUUAAUAACAGCAGCUCAAGGACAAGACGUCAGAAUAAAUUGUAAAACCAGCAGUAGAGUGUGUGAUGGUGAUGACUUAGCCUGGUACUUACAGAAACCUGGAGAAGCUCCUAAACUCCUCAUAUAUGAUGCAUCAACCCGUUACAUUGGAACUCCUUCUAGAUUCAGUGGCAGUGGAUCUGGCAGUGAUUUCACUCUGACCAUCAGUGGAGUCCAGACUGAAGAUACAGGAGAUUAUUACUGUCAGAGUCUACACUGUCCUAGUAGCUAUGUGUUCACACAGUGAUAAAGAGUCGUACAAAAACCUCCGUCAGUCAGAGUCACAGUGACUGCACUG